rnacentral:rRNA from 1 species
AACGAACGCUGGCGGCAUGCCUAACACAUGCAAGUCGAACGAGAUCUUCGGGUCUAGUGGCGCACGGGUGCGUAACGCGUGGGAAUCUGCCCCUUGGUUCGGAAUAACAGUUGGAAACGACUGCUAAUACCGGAUGAUGACGAAAGUCCAAAGAUUUAUCGCCAGAGGAUGAGCCCGCGUAGGAUUAGCUAGUUGGUGUGGUAAAGGCGCACCAAGGCGACGAUCCUUAGCUGGUCUGAGAGGAUGAUCAGCCACACUGGGACUGAGACACAGCCCAGACUCCUACGGGAGGCAGCAGUGGGGAAUAUUGGACAAUGGGCGAAAGCCUGAUCCAGCAAUGCCGCGUGAGUGAUGAAGGCCUUAGGGUUGUAAAGCUCUUUUACCCGGGAUGAUAAUGACAGUACCGGGAGAAUAAGCUCCGGCUAACUCCGUGCCAGCCGCCGCGGUAAGAC